AUUGCUCCACUUGGUUAGGUGAGUGUUUAGUGUUUUUUGUUAUUGGUGUUUUUGUUUUUUGUACGUUGUGCGAACACAGCAUAGCACGCGCAAUACCUUCUGUGGUGUAGCUGUCUGGCCAGGAUGACGGGCGGUUGAGGUCUUGGGCAUGGCCUCGAGGCUUCAAAGCAGCAUCGGGCCUUUAUGAAGGACAAAAUGGCGAUGGCGGGCCGUGCAGGUGGCCCUCUCUAUGAUGAGGAACUUUUCACAGACCUGUACUGAGUUUCGUGAGGAUAAGUAACUCUGAGGACACGGGCCGUGCAAACCUCCUACUUAGCCGUCGCUUCAGAAAAUAGCGUUUUCGAAAUACCCCGUGCUGACGUAAUGUCGUCUUGGGCUCUUUGCAGGGUUUACGCGCACGUUUGAGUCGAAAAGAAUUCUAUUGUUACAGUGUUGAGCCCACAAGAGCUUACUGGUGAAGAAAUGGGACAAGACCCAUCUUUCGGCAAAGCCAACGUUACAGUAAUGCUCCAGCAUCUCACAGUCUAUCCUGAGGAAUUCAAAUGCUUCCCAGGGUGAAAAGAGGUAGUCCUGCUGACAGUCUGCUUCUAUCUUAUAGAGCAGUUUGUUCUAUUUACCAUUGAAAAGCCUUCGAAUCUGAGAGGUGCUAUUACCAAUAACCUGCUUUUGGGCUCAAGGGGCCCGUACCUUCUCUCUACAGCACAAGGGAAAUUUCAGGAAAACUAGAUGUUUCUGCUCACUUCCAAACUGAAGUUAUAGGUCUGAGAAAGAACAAGGUAUAUAAGCGGAAUCUGUCUUGAAGAUUAGAAGGUGAAUUUUCCAAGUCCUUGGCCAACUUGGCUAUUGAAGUUUGCAUACUGGCAUUUUAGUCUUCAGCUCAUUUUUUAAGCCUUACUGUAAAUCAUAUUUUUGGGUGGGUCUACCUGGGCACAAGGAAGUAAGCCCUGAGUUUGCUGUUUUAACUGGGUUUUACCCAGCUUCAUUAGGCAAUCUGCCUAAUACUGGAUUUCCUAACCCAAGGCAGUAUUCAAGGAGCUUAAUUUAUCAGCAUACUUAAGGGACUUAUUCCCUAGAUGUACACCACUGAAGCAAUCUUGAAUGAAAAGCUUGCUGGGUUUGGGUGUCUUAGCUGCACCAUAAUGUGAACAAGUUGCUGUCCUGUUUCCAUUUCUGUUACUGUAUUGGUUGUUGGUGAAAGUAAUAAAAUACUUAGUCCUGA